rnacentral:lncRNA from 1 species
AAAAAAUUAAUAACUAGUAAAGAUAGAUGGUUAUUAAUAAUAAUAAAAUUGGUAAUAAAUAAAAAUAAUAAUAAUAAUAAAAAACAAUAGUAACAAUUUAAUAUGAUAAAAAAAUAAAAUUUAAAAUAAAUAAAUAAAUAAAAAAACGAUUAAUGGGGGAGCAUCCAGCCAGCUAUAGCAUGAGAAAUUUUUUAACUCCCCAUCCACUGACUGACACGUGGCAGGGGAUGAAAAAAUUGCAAAAUAAAAUAAAAAAAAUCCUCCUUCAUCUAGAAACAUGCUGGUUUGAAACAAAAUAAACAGAGAAAACCAUUUCUCUACUUUCUCUCUCAUGAUCCUUCCACUCCCACUUGUUCAUUCCUAUCUUUUCUUUUUCUUUCAAACUUACAUAUUCAAGAAAAUAAAAUAAAAAGCAAAAUUUCUAAAAAUCAAAAGAAACCUCCACAAACUUCAGAUAAUAUUUAAACAAAACUGGAAAGCAAAGAAAAAGCUACCAAAUAGAGACUUCGUGGCGGUCGACGACGGUUUGUCGUAUGUCUCGGUCGUUCGAAAUUUCACGGUGUGGAGAGGGAUAAGAAAUGAGAGUUAAGUUGUUUUGGGAUGGAUUGAUGGAAGGUUAAGUGAUAAUGGAGACAUUGUUGUGUGAGAUUUGUAGAAGAUNNN